rnacentral:misc_RNA from 1 species
AUUAAACUUUCACUUUUCCUGUAUACAUGCUGUGUCUGAGUGUCGGAUUAACUCUGUAGAACCAGUGACUCAUCCGUGUGCAUUUUCUGUAUUUUCAGAUUCGCCAGACAUCGUGUGGAUACAAGUAAACACUCUUCUUGUGACUUUGUUUUAAAGACCGGUUUGUUCUGUUAACUAAUUGUUUCUGACAUUUUCAAGUUUUUGAGUUGAUCUAACUUUUGAAUUUGUUUGCCUUCCAUCAUAUUUGUGAUAAGAUUUUUGGACAGAAAAUUAAAACGCAGUUAUUAUACAAAACUGUACACAAAGAAGUAAAGUAAGAGCCGCAACAGGAAAACUGUGAUUCAAUGCGCUGGGAGGGAUGGACUGCUUGUAAAGCCGGCUUGCAUCUUGAUGCAGGAAACAUUCAUAUUUGUGUACACUGAUUCUUUUGACAUAUGUGGGGCUAUCUUCUGAUAUUGAGUUCACACCAUACCAUGACUUGGAGCAAGAGAGAAGUCUAUUGCACUCUGAGGAAAUUUCCUGCUGUAUUGGGAUAUUUAUCAUACGUGAAAAGUGUGAAGUGACUCUUAACCCUCGGAACUUUCUUAACUGGGGAGGAGAUGGUUGGAAAGUGAAUUAUGUCUCAUAUUGUGUGUAGUAAAGUGGGGAUUUUGAGUGUGUGAGAAAUCAAAUGCACAGAUGUGGUGGAAGAAAGUUUUGUUUUUGGUUCAGUUCAGAUUUGAUUAACUUUGUUGUGUGUUUGUUUUUAAUGCACUGUGUUUUAUUCUAACAGCUGAGAAUGGGAAGGAUAUAAAUACAAAACUGAUACAUGUACUACAUUGAGGAAACAGCUAAAAAUUGACACAAUUGUGUGAAUAUUUAUUGAAUUAUGCAGUUUGAUUCAAAAAGUUUGUAACUGAUCAAUGUGAUAUCAUGGAAUUAAGUUCAGUGAUACAGAAUCAGACCAGCGAUUUCAUCGCAACAACAUCCUCUUUACCAUACUCAUCAACUUCUUUACCACCCCCCACUGUACUGAGUUCAGACAUUUUGAAGAGUUCACCAGUGACUGUGGAUAUGUCUUCUUUCACUCAGUUAGUCACAAGUAUGUCUUCAGAGCCCCUCUCCCUAUCCCCUAGUUCUGCCAUUCAGACAUCUAGUCCCCCCAUGGCAUCCUUGUCAACAUUUAGCAUUACAAGUUCUCUUUCAGAGUCCUCAUCCUUUGAGUCCAUCUCACCUGUAGCAACAACAACAUUGCAAGAUUCAUCAGCUGAUACAGUGUGGAGUUCACAGGAACUGUCCCCUAAUGUGGGUCAGCCUAGUGCACCCUUCAGUGCUGACCCUUCAUCUGAAGUGAUUUCCUUCCAAUUGUCUUCCACUCCUCAUUUGUCAAGUGAAUAUUCUGUGUCCUCUGUAGUAACCCCAUCCUCCAUCUCUUCCCAGUCCCUAGUCUUAGGACCAUUAGUACCCUCAUUAACAUCAUCAUCAUCAUCAGUAUCACCAUCAUCCAUUGUUUCCUCUCUCCCCACACCCCAGCUGUCAUCUGACAUAGUGUUGACAUCCACGUUCACAGAAUCGUCAUCAGCAUUAACAUCAUCAUCAUCCACUUUUGUACCCAUCCAGUCCCAGUUUGAUGGCAUCGUCUACUCUGCUGCAACCUUCCACCCCUAAUCUUGAUGUCUCCUCCACUGCAAUGCAAACCCCAUCUUCCACUCCAACGCAAACCCCAUCUUCCACCCUAACAAAAAGCCUGUCUUCCACUCCAACGCAAACCCUGUCCUCCACCCAUGGCUUCAGCACUGAUUCUAUAGCAGUCCUACCAGCAUCCUCAAAGAGACAAUCUCUCCAAGCACCACCCUCCCAGUGUUACCUACAUCCAGCUCAGUGUUCCCAGGGGUCACAACCACGCAGGGAGAGACAAACAACACCGUCAGCAGCACCCCAGCACCACGUAAGUAACACUGUACAUGCUAGAUACAUUGUUAAACACCCAGUCUGUGUACCAGUAUUACUAUAUGUAAAUCUUAUGCUAGAUACAUUGUUGAGCACCCCGUACCCCACUCCAUGUAAGUAAAACAUUAUAUAAUGUUAGAUAUAUUGUUGGGCACCCCAGCUCCAGGUAAGUUAAACUUGACAUGCUAGAUACAGUGUAAGUCCUACAGGGCUGAGAUAGCUAUCAUCACUUUUACAUCUGUUAUUCAAUCCCCCCAAAGGUCUCGCUGGGAAUGUGGUUCAUCACUGAUGUGGCUUAUUUAUGUGGACUGAAUGUUAGGUUAUGAUUAUCCCAUUGAAAUCUGCUUGAUAAUAAACAUUAUUGUUUAAAUUUAAUGAGUUUUUGAAAGCAGCUAGGAUACAAUCUGUUAAUGAGGCUGUAAUAAUAAUAUAAUUAAGUGUACCUAAAGUUCAAUAAUAGUCAAACUUCGUAGACGAUUGCCAUCAACAAGUCAAACCAAUAAAAAAAUAUCAUCGCUCGAUAACUUCAGUGCUAUAAAUUGUUAUUAAUGCAUCAUAUGUUAAUUAGUUUUAAGAAAAACAUGAUUUUAUCAAAGUUUAGCAAACAACAAAACAAACAAAUAGCCUGGUAAUGUUUUCCUUGUGUAUAAUAUGUCAGGUAUUUUGCACACUUGAGUGUGUCUUGAGUUAAGAUUUCGGUGAAUGAGCUGAGUCGAGUGGGGAGAGUGAUGAUGACUAGUCUAGUGGCCUCCAGAUAUUGUUGACCUGUUAAUUCAAGAUGUGAUCACAAGAGUCAGGUGUAACUGCUAAAUAGCUUUAUAUCUUUUCUUAAUGCCUUAAAAUAAUUUUCACAGAAUUCAUACUAACAUGUGCACAUAAUUGACUUUUAAGAGGGUGGGGAUUCUGGUGUAACUGUUCAUGCACUGCUCCUUUCAUUUUAAAUAUUUCUA